rnacentral:lncRNA from 1 species
CACCUUUGUGAUCCCACACUCCUAAUCUUAUGAGCUAAAAUGUUGCACACUCAAUCUUUGGAGGAUAUAUUUUAUAAAAAAACAACAUAAAUAUAGACAGAUUAUCUUUCCAUUAGGUUGAGCGAUCUGAUCUGACAAAUGUUUUAAAUGCUACACUCAUGAUCUUAUUAUCUAUCAACUUUGUCUUGCUCACUAUGCUUAAGGAUAGAGAAGAGCAAAUACACUUUUAGUUCUGUUGGUGUUUUCCACCAACAGGGCCCAUGCACU